rnacentral:rRNA from 1 species
CCUACGGGGCGCAGCAGUGGGGAAUAUUGCACAAUGGGGGAAACCCUGAUGCAGCGACGCCGCGUGAGUGAAGAAGUAUUUCGGUAUGUAAAGCUCUAUCAGCAGGGAAGAAGAAAGACGGUACCUGACUAAGAAGCCCCGGCUAACUACGUGCCAGCAGCCGCGGUAAUACGUAGGGGGCAAGCGUUAUCCGGAUUUACUGGGUGUAAAGGGAGCGUAGACGGCGCUGCAAGUCUGAAGUGAAAGGCGGGGGCUCAACCCCCGGACUGCUUUGGAAACUGUAUAGCUGGAGUGCAGGAGAGGUA